rnacentral:rRNA from 1 species
CCUACGGGGGCAGCAGUGGGGAAUAUUGGACAAUGGGCGAAAGCCUGAUCCAGCCAUGCCGCGUGUGUGAAGAAGGCCUUUGGGUUGUAAAGCACUUUCAGUGGGGAAGAAAGCCUUGGGGCUAAUACCCUCGAGGAAGGACAUCACCCACAGAAGAAGCACCGGCUAACUCCGUGCCAGCAGCCGCGGUAAUACGGAGGGUGCGAGCGUUAAUCGGAAUUACUGGGCGUAAAGCGCGCGUAGGCGGUCUGAUAAGCCGGUUGUGAAAGCCCCGGGCUCAACCUGGGAACGGCAUCCGGAACUGUCAGGCUAGAGUGCAGGAGAGGAAGGUAGAAUUCCCGGUGUAGCGGUGAAAUGCGUAGAGAUCGGGAGGAAUACCAGUGGCGAAGGCGGCCUUCUGGACUGACACUGACGCUGAGGUGCGAAAGCGUGGGUAGCAAACAGGAUUAGAUACCCUUGUAGUC